AGUGGAAUAGCUAGGUCAUAUGGUGACUCCAUCUCUAAUUUUUUGAGGAAUAUCCAUAUUGCUUUCCAGAGUGUUUGUACUAGUUUGUAGUCCCACCAACAAU
rnacentral:pre_miRNA from 1 species